CCCUUAGAUGUUCUGGGCCGCACGCGCGCUACACUGAUGCACUCAACGAGUCUCCACCUUGACCGAAAGGUCCGGGAAACCUUCGAACUUGCAUCGUGAUGGGGAUAGAUUAUUGCAACUAUUAAUCUUCAACGAGGAAUACCUAGUAGGCGCAUGUCAUCAGCGUGCGUCGAUUACGUCCCUGCCCUUUGUACACACCGCCCGUCGCUCCUACCGAUUGAAUGACUCGGUGAAAAAUUGGGACUGUGAAAACAAUUGAUUCAGUUCAAAUGUAUUCGUGGAAACUUUUUUUAACCUCGUUAUUUAGAAGAAGGUGAANUCGUANCA
rnacentral:rRNA from 1 species